rnacentral:lncRNA from 1 species
CGGGUGUAAAUAGGACGAGAGAGUUACUGAUAGAGCAGAUCUCUCUAUGACGAUGGUGAGAUACAUGGUAGGGUGUGUCUCUGGAGCGUAAAAAUCGACCGAUUUUUGCCAGUUCCUCUCGGCCAGAGAAGCAUAUUGCUUCACCCGCUGUAGACUGCUAUUUUCACCUUUGGUAUUCCGGUCUGUCUCCAGAAACUUCAAGCAGCAAUCCCUUUGAUGGCAAGCAAGCUGAAAGUAGGCAUAUGCAGCUUCUUGUUUGCGAAUUUCACCUAGGGACUCGUACAGAG